GCCGAUGUAGCUCAGUGGUAGAGCAACUCCAUGGUAAGGAGUAGGUCACCGGUUCAAGUCCGGUCAUCGGCU
rnacentral:tRNA from 1 species